UUCCGAUGAAGAAGCUCUCCCAAAAUUGAUAGGAAGUGCCGUAUGACACUCCAAACCGCAGCGAGAAG